AUGGGAACGCGAAGAACCUUACCUAGACUUGACAUCUUCUGCAUUAAUCGUAAUGGAUGAAAUCCCUUCGGGGACAGAAUGACAGGUGGUGCAUGGUUGUCGUCAGCUCGUGUCGUGAGAUGUUGGGUUAAGUCCCGCAACGAGCGCAACCCCUAUUAUUAGUUGCUAACAUUAAGUUGAGCACUCUAGUGAGACCGCCCGGGUUAACCGGGAGGAAGGCGGGGAUGACGUCAAAUCAUCAUACCCCUUAUGUCUAGGGCUACACACGUGCUACAAUGGUGAGAACAACAAGAAGCGAAGCCGCGAGGCAGAGCAAAACUGAAAAACUCAUCUCAGUUCGGAUUGCAGGCUGAAACUCGCCUGCAUGAAGUUGGAGUUGCUAGUAAUCGCGAAUCAGAAUGUCGCGGUGAAUACGUUCCCGGGUCUUGUACACA
rnacentral:rRNA from 1 species